UUCAGUGAUAACAAGCCGUCUGAAAGCUUCCAGGAACCACGUUAUCAUGGUCGUGUUGAGCUGAAAGAUCCACAGAUGAAGAACGGAAACACUUCUGUUCUCCUGAAGAACGUCAGCAUCAACGACACGGGAAAAUACGAAUGUCGGGUUACAACUAACUCCAAUAAUUCAAACCUGGGAGUGUUGGUGUCCUCCGUCCAUCUGAUCGUCUCUGACGGUGAAUGGAAGAAUUGGAGGAACAAGUGCACAGAAGAAACGUUGGGUUGGGAGUUGGUUUGGGAGUGGUUUGUCUUGUUGUUGUUGGACUUUUUCUGAAAUCUAAAAGAGCUAAGGAGAAAGGAUCAGCAGAGUGUAUCGAUGAACAGGAAAUGUCCAAACUGAACACCUGACUGUCCUCCAUCACCUGCUUCUCCUCUCCUGAAUGUCCACCUUGUCGUGGUGGAGGGUCUUGAUGAAUAACCCAACCACCUGCACUACCUGGGGGGCUCACUACUAUCUAAAUCAGAUUACAGGAUAUCAGGUACUCACGCUGCAGACACACGCUGCUCCGGACCACGUUGUGUUCAGGGGUUAGGCUUAAGAUCAGCAACCCCAUCAGGGUUACAGAGAACCCCAUCAGGGUUACAGAGACCCCCAUCAGGAUAAC